rnacentral:rRNA from 1 species
GACGAACGCUGGCGGCGUGCUUAACACAUGCAAGUCGAACGGAAAGGCCCUGCUUUUGUGGGGUGCUCGAGUGGCGAACGGGUGAGUAACACGUGAGUAACCUGCCCUUGACUUUGGGAUUACUUCAGGAAACUGGUGCUAAUACCUGAUAGGAGCUCCUGCUGCAUGGUGGGGGUUGGAAAGUUUCGGCGGUUGGGGAUGGACUCGCGGCUUAUCAGCUUGUUGGUGGGGUAGUGGCUUACCAAGGCUUUGACGGGUAGCCGGCCUGAGAGGGUGACCGGCCACAUUGGGACUGAGAUACGGCCCAGACUCCUACGGGAGGCAGCAGUGGGGAAUACUGCACAAUGGGCGGAAGCCUGAUGCAGCAACGCCGCGUGCGGGAUGACGGCCUUCGGGUUGUAAACCGCUUUCGCCUGUGACGAAGCGUGAGUGACGGUAAUGGGUAAAGAAGCACCGGCUAACUACGUG